rnacentral:rRNA from 1 species
AUGCCAUGAGCUCUUUCUUGAUUCAGUGGGUGGUGGUGCAUGGCCGUUCUUAGUUGGUGGAGUGAUUUGUCUGGUUAAUUCCGUUAACGAACGAGACCUUAACCUGCUAAAUAGUCACGCGAACCGGUCCGCAAGGGCUCAAAGUUCGCGGCUCGACUUCUUAGAGGGACUAUUCGCACCCGCCAGCGAAUGGAAGUUUGAGGCAAUAACAGGUCUGUGAUGCCCUUAGAUGUUCUCGGCCGCACGCGCGUUACACUGACGGAGUCAACGAGCGUUUUUCCUUGCCUGACAGGGCUGGGUAACCUCCUGAAACUCCGUCGUGAUGGGGAUAGAUCAUUGCAAUUAUUGAUCUUGAACGAGGAAUUCCUAGUAGGCGCGAGUCAUCAACUCGCGCCGAUUACGUCCCUGCCCUUUGUACACACCGCCCGUCGCUCCUACCGAUUGAACGGUCCGGCGAGAACUCCGGAUGGUCA